GUGCUCGCUUUGGCAGCACAGAUACUAAAAUUGAAAUGAUACAGAGAAGAUUAGCAUAGCUCCUGUGUAAGGAUGACACAUAAGGGUGCCUCGGUGGCUCAGAUGGUU